GCUGAGAAUGUCCGUUGCUUCUUCCUACGACGACUACAGUCCCAACAACUUGUUCUAACAUCUUACAGUUCAUACAAAGACAAAGAUCGAAAAAGAAGUUGAUCCUAAAACAAACAUGACGGAGGAUCGGGAUGAAGAGAAGGUUCCAUCGUUUGUAAAAUAUUCUCCAAACUAUUGAAAUCACUGCUGUCUGCCGCAUAUCUCUAAACCCUAAUAUCAAAUAUCUGAACACCACUUAUAAAGAAAGCUUCACGAUGGUCAGAUCUUUGGUUUCAUUCUUAACCGUUGAGAUUAAAAUCCAAUUUCAGGUAACCCACUGGGUCAAAAUGCUGCCCGAUGGAUAAAUCAACCCAACAACAAAUAUAUAAACAACUGAAAUCUAGCGUAAUGUCUCAUUCUACUUUUUCAUUCCGUAAGAGUUACUUUUUCUCCUCUUUGAUUCUGUUAUUGCUGUUCUUGCUUAUUGGAUUGCAUUCCAGAUUUUCUUCUGUAAAUUCUAAUCUGGUAAUUUCUUUUAAUUUUCAGAUGAAUCGAUCAUGUUCGUUGCGUGUAGAUCUAUCUCACAGUUUGAUUGUAGAUUAGAUAAUGUGUAUUUCUGUAAAUGUCAUAAUCAUUCUUGAAUUACUCUUGUCAAUUUUCAAUUUGUCAAUUUUCUUUAGAUUCCUGUCAUUUCCAAUUUCACUUUGUUAACCUGAAUUUCAUUCCAUAAAUCUUUGUUAAUUUCUUUUCAAUCAAUUAUAUCUCUGUCC
rnacentral:lncRNA from 1 species